UGUGUUAUUAAAUAUGUCAUUAAUUUAUUAAAAUAACAAUUAUUUUAAGUAAAAAACAUAUUUCAUUAUUUCACGAUUUAAUUAAUUAUUUCAUGGUCCUUGUGUUGCAGUGGAUCAUGAAUUAAUUUUAUCUGUCAACCUCGCCCGUCAAAGUCCGUGGGCGGGACUAACGUGAAUCUAGUCUAAUCCACUGCUUUUGUCUGCCUUGAAACCGGAAGUAGAAGUCUUUCUAAACAUGGUGGCUGUGUAGAGGGAGAGUCGCUGUGAACUUUCUAGAGAGUUGGUGAGAGAUAUUUUAGACCUUGCAGAGUAUGUGGAAGCAGGACCUGCUUACCGCGAGCAUGUAGCGUGUAAAGCAGAGGAAUUUAUUGACGUUGUUGAAGUUAUUUCCGCACUUUCCGACCAAGAUGUUGACCGUAGAGUGACUGCAAAUUUAGAGGAAGUACUCCGCCGGUUUUCUGGUACCAGGGUGCAACAGGAGCACACACAGGGACCAGGGCGUUUGGCAUACCGAGGGAAGUUCUGGAACAUCACGUUCUUUGUGGAUUACCAGCCUGUCAAAUUGCAGCGAUGCUCGGAGUGUCGAGCGCUUUUCCUUUAGGACCUACUCGGCGCGGCACGGCUCCGCUCGUCUUUGUUUAGCCGCGAUUCCACAAGCAUCUACUCGGCACGGUACGGCUCGUCUCAUCUUUGUUUGCGAGCGUUUCCAUACGGACUAAUUUUCAGCACCUUCUCGGCUGAGGUUCCCAGCGAGCUGAGAUGAGCCGAUAAUGUGGCGUUUACAUAGUGCAGGCCACUGAUUGGACAGGGAGUGACGACACAGAGCAACUUCAGCACGAAAACAAAAUCCUGCAUUAAAAAAUGACUGUAAACAGCGACGGUGUGCAUUGCUCUUCACGAAACUCUGUUCUUCAUAAUUUUAAUGUGACAGCCAGACUUGUACCGUGGGUGAAUGAAGAGGUCGAGACUUUGUCUUUGGUGGCGGACCAAAGAAUACAGAGAGAGCUGGACGGAGAAAGUUUAUCAGGAGGUCUCUGAGCGGAUGGCCGCUCACAUAUACAGUAGACUGUAUAUAAAGAGGACAGAAGCAGUGUAGGGAGAAGCUGAAAAAGCUCAAAAGUGACUAUCGGUCCACCCAGGACCACAACGGCCGGCGUGGGUCAACCAGGAGGUGUUGGAAGAGGUUUAAUGGAAGCUAUUUACUGGCACCGCACCGGCGAGCAACAGGAGGGAGACUCAGCCGCUGCAUUGUUGGAGACGUUCGAGGACGAAUCCCUUUCCACAUGCGAAGCCUACUCCACCUCCGUCGCGGAGCCCCCGGCUGCCCUGUCUCCUCUCCAGCACUAGCUCGGACACCGACACCAGCACGUCACAGCAACGUCUUAUCACCGGCAAGAGGAAAGGGGGCCACAGAAAAUUGGACCUUCCUAGCGUACUUGUGGAGAUGCAGGCUGAGGAGGAGUGGAGUCAUGCCCAGCAUGAUGAGAACAUCUGGUUGCUCCUCAGCGAGGCAAGAGAGAAUGAAGCGGCCUUGCAGCGGGAGGAGAUGGCCCAGAAUACUGCCUUCAACCAGUCAUUCCUGGGUGUGCUGGGGCAGCUGGGGUAGCUGGGUAGGCAGUGGGCAGCCGGCGAGUGUGAGCGAGUCCACCUCCCAUAGACUUGAGAUUUACAAGUGCUGGUCAUAUAAUUAGAAUAUCACGAAAAAGCUUGUCUUUUGGACAACUGUCAGGUCAGUAGUCUUCCCCAUGAUUGUGUAGCCUACAGAACUAGGCUGAGAGACCAUUUAAAGGCCUUUGCAGGUGUUUUGAGUUAAUUAGCUGAUUAGAGGUGUCUUCAAUAUUGAACCUUUCUACAAUAUUCUAAUUUUCAGAGAUACCAAAUUUGAGAUUUUUGUUAGUAUUCAGGUAUAAUCAUCAAAGUUAAGAGAAAUAAACAUUUGAAAUAUAUCAGUCUCUGUGUAAUGAAUGAGUAUAAUAUACAAGUUUCACUUUUUGAAUGGAAUUACUGAAAUAAUGAACAACUUUUUUCAUGAUAUUCUAAUUAUAUGACCAGCACCUGUAGUUGUAUAUAGUUUUACUUUUAG